rnacentral:RNase_P_RNA from 1 species
UGAGGGGCCCAGGACCGUCGUUCGCGGGCAACCGCGAGAGGAAAGUCCGGGCUCCACGGGUCAGGAUGGUUGCUAACGGCAACCGGCCGCGAGGCCAGGGAAAGUGCCACAGAAAACAAACCGCCAUCCGGCCCUCACGGGUCGGGCGGCAAGGGUGAAACGGUGCGGUAAGAGCGCACCGCGGAGCUGGUGACAGCUCUGGCAGGGCAAACCCCAUCCGGAGAAAGACCAAAUAGGGAUGGCUCAUGGGGACGACCCGCUCCUCGCCAUCCGGGUAGGUCGUUCGAGGGCGUGCGCGAGCACGCUCCCAGAGAAAGGACGGUCUCGCCGCGCAAGCGGUCAGACAGGACCCGGCUUACAGGGCCCCUCACGCC